AAUCAUGGAGUAUAAUAAUUAAAUUUAAUAAAUUUAAUAUAACUAUUAAUAGAAUUAGGUUACUAAUAAAUUAAUAACAAUUAAUUUUAAAACCUAAAGGUAAACCUUUAUAUUAAUAAUGUUUUUUUUUUAUUAUUUUUUAUAAUAAGAAUAAUUAUUAAUAAUAAUAAACUAAGUGAACUGAAACAUCUAAGUAACUUAAGGAUAAGAAAUCAACAGAGAUAUUAUGAGUAUUGGUGAGAGAAAAUAAUAAAGGUCUAAUAAGUAUUAUGUGAAAAAAAUGUAAGAAAAUAGGAUAACAAAUUCUAAGACUAAAUACUAUUAAUAAGUAUAGUAAGUACCGUAAGGGAAAGUAUGAAAAUGAUUAUUUUAUAAGCAAUCAUGAAUAUAUUAUAUUAUAUUAAUGAUGUACCUUUUGUAUAAUGGGUCAGCAAGUAAUUAAUAUUAGUAAAACAAUAAGUUAUAAAUAAAUAGAAUAAUAUAUAUAUAUAUAAAAAUAUAUUAAAAUAUUUAAUUAAUAUUAAUUGACCCGAAAGCAAACGAUCUAACUAUGAUAAGAUGGAUAAACGAUCGAACAGGUUGAUGUUGCAAUAUCAUCUGAUUAAUUGUGGUUAGUAGUGAAAGACAAAUCUGGUUUGCAGAUAGCUGGUUUUCUAUGAAAUAUAUGUAAGUAUAGCCUUUAUAAAUAAUAAUUAUUAUAUAAUAUUAUAUUAAUAUUAUAUAAAGAAUGGUACAGCAAUUAAUAUAUAUUAGGGAACUAUUAAAGUUUUAUUAAUAAUAUUAAAUCUCGAAAUAUUUAAUUAUAUAUAAUAAAGAGUCAGAUUAUGUGCGAUAAGGUAAAUAAUCUAAAGGGAAACAGCCCAGAUUAAGAUAUAAAGUUCCUAAUAAAUAAUAAGUGAAAUAAAUAUUAAAAUAUUAUAAUAUAAUCAGUUAAUGGGUUUGACAAUAACCAUUUUUUAAUGAACAUGUAACAAUGCACUGAUUUAUAAUAAAUAAAAAAAAAAUAAUAUUUAAAAUCAAAUAUAUAUAUAUUUGUUAAUAGAUAAUAUACGGAUCUUAAUAAUAAGAAUUAUUUAAUUCCUAAUAUGGAAUAUUAUAUUUUUAUAAUAAAAAUAUAAAUACUGAAUAUCUAAAUAUUAUUAUUACUUUUUUUUUAAUAAUAAUAAUAUGGUAAUAGAACAUUUAAUGAUAAUAUAUAUUAGUUAUUAAUUAAUAUAUGUAUUAAUUAAAUAGAGAAUGCUGACAUGAGUAACGAAAAAAAGGUAUAAACCUUUUCACCUAAAACAUAAGGUUUAACUAUAAAAGUACGGCCCCUAAUUAAAUUAAUAAGAAUAUAAAUAUAUUUAAGAUGGGAUAAUCUAUAUUAAUAAAAAUUUUAUCUUAAAAUAUAUAUAUUAUUAAUAAUUAUAUUAAUAAUAUAUAUAAUUAUAUUAUAUAUUUUUUUUUAUAUAAUAUAAACUAAUAAAGAUCAGGAAAUAAUUAAUGUAUACCGUAAUGUAGACCGACUCAGGUAUGUAAGUAGAGAAUAUGAAGGUGAAUUAGAUAAUUAAAGGGAAGGAACUCGGCAAAGAUAGCUCAUAAGUUAGUCAAUAAAGAGUAAUAAGAACAAAGUUGUACAACUGUUUACUAAAAACACCGCACUUUGCAGAAACGAUAAGUUUAAGUAUAAGGUGUGAACUCUGCUCCAUGCUUAAUAUAUAAAUAAAAUUAUUUAACGAUAAUUUAAUUAAAUUUAGGUAAAUAGCAGCCUUAUUAUGAGGGUUAUAAUGUAGCGAAAUUCCUUGGCCUAUAAUUGAGGUCCCGCAUGAAUGACGUAAUGAUACAACAACUGUCUCCCCUUUAAGCUAAGUGAAAUUUAAAUCGUAGUGAAGAUGCUAUGUACCUUCAGCAAGACGGAAAGACCCUAUGCAGCUUUACUGUAAUUAGAUAGAUCGAAUUAUUGUUUAUUAUAUUCAGCAUAUUAAGUAAUCCUAUUAUUAGGUAAUCGUUUAGAUAUUAAUGAGAUACUUAUUAUAAUAUAAUGAUAAUUCUAAUCUUAUAAAUAAUUAUUAUUAUUAUUAUUAAUAAUAAUAAUAAUAUGCUUUCAAGCAUAGUGAUAAAACAUAUUUAUAUGAUAAUCACUUUACUUAAUAGAUAUAAUUCUUAAGUAAUAUAUAAUAUAUAUUAUAUAUAUAUUAUAUAUAAUAUAAGAGACAAUCUCUAAUUGGUAGUUUUGAUGGGGCGUCAUUAUCAGCAAAAGUAUCUGAAUAAGUCCAUAAAUAAAUAUAUAAAAUUAUUGAAUAAAAAAAAUAAUAUAUAUUAUAUAUAUUAAUUAUAAAUUGAAAUAUGUUUAUAUAAAUUUAUAUUUAUUGAAUAUAUUUUAGUAAUAGAUAAAAAUAUGUACAGUAAAAUUGUAAGGAAAACAAUAAUAACUUUCUCCUCUCUCGGUGGGGGUUCACACCUAUUUUUAAUAGGUGUUCACCCCUCUUCGGGGUUCCGGUUCCCUUUCGGGUCCCGGAACUUAAAAAUAAUUAUGGAAAGAAUUAAAUUAAUAUAAUGGUAUAACUGUGCGAUAAUUGUAACACAAACGAGUGAAACAAGUACGUAAGUAUGGCAUAAUGAACAAAUAACACUGAUUGUAAAGGUUAUUGAUAACGAAUAAAAGUUACGCUAGGGAUAACAGGGUAAUAUAACGAAAGAGUAGAUAUUGUAAGUUAUGUUUGCCACCUCGAUGUCGACUCAACAUUUCCUCUUGGUUGUAAAAGCUAAGAAGGGUUUGACUGUUCGUCAAUUAAAAUGUUACGUGAGUUGGGUUAAAUACGAUGUGAAUCAGUAUGGUUCCUAUCUGCUGAAGGAAAUAUUAUCAAAUUAAAUCUCAUUAUUAGUACGCAAGGACCAUAAUGAAUCAACCCAUGGUGUAUCUAUUGAUAAUAAUAUAAUAUAUUUAAUAAAAAUAAUACUUUAUUAAUAUAUUAUCUAUAUUAGUUUAUAUUUUAAUUAUAUAUUAUCAUAGUAGAUAAGCUAAGUUGAUAAUAAAUAAAUAUUGAAUACAUAUUAAAUAUGAAGUUGUUUUAAUAAGAUAAUUAAUCUGAUAAUUUUAUACUAAAAUUAAUAAUUAUAGGUUUUAUAUAUUAUUUAUAAAUAAAUAUAUUAUAAUAAUAAUAAUUAUUAUUAUUAAUAAAAAAUAU
rnacentral:rRNA from 1 species